CGGCGAUACCCGAAUGGGGAAACCCAGUGUGACUCGUCACACUAUCAUUAACUGAAUCCAUAGGUUAAUGAGGCGAACCGGGGGAACUGAAACAUCUAAGUACCCCGAGGAAAAGAAAUCAACCGAGAUUCCCCCAGUAGCGGCGAGCGAACGGGGAGGAGCCCAGAGCCUGAAUCAGCAUGUGUGUUAGUGGAAGCGUCUGGAAAGGCGCGCGAUACAGGGUGACAGCCCCGUACACAAAAGCGCAUGUGCUGUGAGCUCGAUGAGUAGGGCGGGACACGUGGUAUCCUGUCUGAAUAUGGGGGGACCAUCCUCCAAGGCUAAAUACUCCUGACUGACCGAUAGUGAACCAGUACCGUGAGGGAAAGGCGAAAAGAACCCCGGCGAGGGGAGUGAAAAAGAACCUGAAACCGUGUACGUACAAGCAGUGGGAGCACCCUUUGGGUGUGACUGCGUACCUUUUGUAUAAUGGGUCAGCGACUUAUAUUCUGUAGCAAGGUUAACCGAAUAGGGGAGCCGGAGGGAAACCGAGUCUUAACCGGGCGUUAAGUUGCAGGGUAUAGACCCGAAACCCGGUGAUCUAGCCAUGGGCAGGUUGAAGGUUGGGUAACACUAACUGGAGGACCGAACCGACUAAUGUUGAAAAAUUAGCGGAUGACCUGUGGCUGGGGGUGAAAGGCCAAUCAAACCGGGAGAUAGCUGGUUCUCCCCGAAAGCUAUUUAGGUAGCGCCUCGUGAAUUCAUCUCCGGGGGUAGAGCACUGUUUCGGCUAGGGGGCCAUCCCGGCUUACCAACCCGAUGCAAACUGCGAAUACCGGAGAAUGUUAUCACGGGAGACACACGGCGGGUGCUAACGUCCGUCGUGAAGAGGGAAACAACCCAGACCGCCAGCUAAGGUCCCAAAGUCAUGGUUAAGUGGGAAACGAUGUGGGAAGGCCCAGACAGCCAGGAUGUUGGCUUAGAAGCAGCCAUCAUUUAAAGAAAGCGUAAUAGCUCACUGGUCGAGUCGGCCUGCGCGGAAGAUGUAACGGGGCUAAACCAUGCACCGAAGCUGCGGCAGCGACACUGUGUGUUGUUGGGUAGGGGAGCGUUCUGUAAGCCUGUGAAGGUGUGUCGUGAGGCAUGCUGGAGGUAUCAGAAGUGCGAAUGCUGACAUAAGUAACGAUAAAGCGGGUGAAAAGCCCGCUCGCCGGAAGACCAAGGGUUCCUGUCCAACGUUAAUCGGGGCAGGGUGAGUCGACCCCUAAGGCGAGGCCGAAAGGCGUAGUCGAUGGGAAACGGGUUAAUAUUCCCGUACUUGGUGUUACUGCGAAGGGGGGACGGAGAAGGCUAUGUUGGCCGGGCGACGGUUGUCCCGGUUUAAGCGUGUAGGUGUGUGUUCCAGGUAAAUCCGGUUCACUUUAACACUGAGGCGUGACGACGAGGCACUACGGUGCUGAAGCAACAAAUGCCCUGCUUCCAGGAAAAGCCUCUAAGCAUCAGGUAACAUCAAAUCGUACCCCAAACCGACACAGGUGGUCAGGUAGAGAAUACCAAGGCGCUUGAGAGAACUCGGGUGAAGGAACUAGGCAAAAUGGUGCCGUAACUUCGGGAGAAGGCACGCUGACACGUAGGUGAAGUGAUUUACUCAUGGAGCUGAAGUCAGUCGAAGAUACCAGCUGGCUGCAACUGUUUAUUAAAAACACAGCACUGUGCAAACACGAAAGUGGACGUAUACGGUGUGACGCCUGCCCGGUGCCGGAAGGUUAAUUGAUGGGGUCAGCGCAAGCGAAGCUCCUGAUCGAAGCCCCGGUAAACGGCGGCCGUAACUAUAACGGUCCUAAGGUAGCGAAAUUCCUUGUCGGGUAAGUUCCGACCUGCACGAAUGGCGUAAUGAUGGCCAGGCUGUCUCCACCCGAGACUCAGUGAAAUUGAACUCGCUGUGAAGAUGCAGUGUACCCGCGGCAAGACGGAAAGACCCCGUGAACCUUUACUAUAGCUUGACACUGAACAUUGAGCCUUGAUGUGUAGGAUAGGUGGGAGGCUUUGAAGUGUGGACGCCAGUCUGCAUGGAGCCGACCUUGAAAUACCACCCUUUAAUGUUUGAUGUUCUAACGUGGACCCGUUACCCGGGUUGCGGACAGUGUCUGGUGGGUAGUUUGACUGGGGCGGUCUCCUCCUAAAGAGUAACGGAGGAGCACGAAGGUUGGCUAAUCCUGGUCGGACAUCAGGAGGUUAGUGCAAUGGCAUAAGCCAGCUUGACUGCGAGCGUGACGGCGCGAGCAGGUGCGAAAGCAGGUCAUAGUGAUCCGGUGGUUCUGAAUGGAAGGGCCAUCGCUCAACGGAUAAAAGGUACUCCGGGGAUAACAGGCUGAUACCGCCCAAGAGUUCAUAUCGACGGCGGUGUUUGGCACCUCGAUGUCGGCUCAUCACAUCCUGGGGCUGAAGUAGGUCCCAAGGGUAUGGCUGUUCGCCAUUUAAAGUGGUACGCGAGCUGGGUUUAGAACGUCGUGAGACAGUUCGGUCCCUAUCUGCCGUGGGCGCUGGAGAACUGAGGGGGGCUGCUCCUAGUACGAGAGGACCGGAGUGGACGCAUCACUGGUGUUCGGGUUGUCAUGCCAAUGGCACUGCCCGGUAGCUAAAUGCGGAAGAGAUAAGUGCUGAAAGCAUCUAAGCACGAAACUUGCCCCGAGAUGAGUUCUCCCUGAGACUUAAAGUCUCCUGAAGGAACGUUGAAGACGACGACGUUGAUAGGCCGGGUGUGUAAGCGCAGCGAUGCGUUGAGCUAACCGGUACUAAUGAACCGUGAGGCUUAACCUUACAACGCCG
rnacentral:rRNA from 1 species